GAUGAACGCUGGCGGCGUGCCUAAUACAUGCAAGUCGAGCGAACAGACGAGGAGCUUGCUCCUCUGACGUUAGCGGCGGACGGGUGAGUAACACGUGGAUAACCUACCUAUAAGACUGGGAUAACUUCGGGAAACCGGAGCUAAUACCGGAUAAUAUAUUGAACCGCAUGGUUCAAUAGUGAAAGACGGUUUUGCUGUCACUUAUAGAUGGAUCCGCGCCGCAUUAGCUAGUUGGUAAGGUAACGGCUUACCAAGGCGACGAUGCGUAGCCGACCUGAGAGGGUGAUCGGCCACACUGGAACUGAGACACGGUCCAGACUCCUACGGGAGGCAGCAGUAGGGAAUCUUCCGCAAUGGGCUAAAUCCUGACGGAGCAACGCCGCGUGAGUGAUGAAGGUCUUCGGAUCGUAAAACUCUGUUAUUAGGGAAGAACAAAUGUGUAAGUAACUAUGCACGUCUUGACGGUACCUAAUCAGAAAGCCACGGCUAACUACGUG
rnacentral:rRNA from 1 species